rnacentral:rRNA from 1 species
GAUCCUGGCUCAGGAUGAACGCUGGCGGCAUGCCUAAUACAUGCAAGUCGAACGAAGUCUUUAGGAAGCUUGCUUCCAAAGAGACUUAGUGGCGAACGGGUGAGUAACACGUAGGUAACCUGCCCAUGUGCCCGGGAUAACUGCUGGAAACGGUAGCUAAAACCGGAUAGGUAUGAGGGAGGCAUCUUCCUCAUAUUAAAGCACCUCGGUGUGAACAUGGAUGGACCUGCGGCGCAUUAG